ACUAUUUUGGCAGACAAGUGCAAUGGAUUUAGAAUCUAUAAAUGUAAUAUUAUAUUACAGGUAGUA
rnacentral:tRNA from 1 species